CCUCGGGCGGCUGCAGUGGGGAAUAUUGGACAAUGGGCGAAAGCCUGAUCCAGCCAUGCCGCGUGUGUGAAGAAGGCCUUCGGGUUGUAAAGCACUUUCAGUGGGGAAGAAAGCCUUGGGGCUAAUACCCUCGAGGAAGGACAUCACCCACAGAAGAAGCACCGGCUAACUCCGUGCCAGCAGCCGCGGUAAUACGGAGGGUGCGAGCGUUAAUCGGAAUUACUGGGCGUAAAGCGCGCGUAGGCGGUCUGAUAAGCCGGUUGUGAAAGCCCCGGGCUCAACCUGGGAACGGCAUCCGGAACUGUCAGGCUAGAGUGCAGGAGAGGAAGGUAGAAUUCCCGGUGUAGCGGUGAAAUGCGUAGAGAUCGGGAGGAAUACCAGUGGCGAAGGCGGCCUUCUGGACUGACACUGACGCUGAGGUGCGAAAGCGUGGGUAGCAAACAGGAUUAGAUACCCCUGUAGUC
rnacentral:rRNA from 1 species